rnacentral:rRNA from 1 species
UACGUUGGUGACAAGCGUUAUCCGGAAUUACUGGGCGUAAAGCGCACGCAAGCGGUUGGACCAGUCUGGCGUGAAAUCUCUUGGCUUAACCAAGAGCGGUCGCUGGAAACUGUCUGACUUGAGGCGAUGAGAGGGGUGCAGAAUUCCCGGUGUAGUGGUGGAAUGCGUAGAUAUCGGGAGGAAUACCAGUGGCGAAAGCGGCACCCUGGCGUCGUACUGACGCUCAUGUGCGAAAGCGUGGGGAGCGAACGGG